AUGAAGCUUGUUCUCAUUUAACUAAUAAAAUAUAACCAUAUAGUUUGAUUGACCACUAUGAUGUUGUUUGUAGUAGGUCGUGUGUGUUUGUUGUGUUCUCCAUCUUUAUACUGAGAGCUCUUAUAUUAAUAUUUGAGACAUUUAUAAGCUAAUAAUAAAAAGCCCUUUCAGUAGCAACUAUAGCUGAUUGACUAGGAUUUGUCAUAGUUGAUCAUGACCAUCAUAUAACGCCAUCUGAUCCAUAAAAAUGGUAUAUAUAUGGCUCAUGGCUCUGUACGGGGUAUUAAUGCGCUAAUAUAUCCGUUUAUAGUUGGUGGUGAUGAAUCCAUUGGAAUCGAUGGAAAUGUAAGAGACUGCAUGAAGAUAUUACAAAUAUAUCUAGAUUUAGUUUUGUGUUGUGAUAGUGAGUUAGACGAUGAAGAUCUACUUUAGGCACAUAUAAAAUUGGUUAAUCCAGUGGAAAAUAGGAGAGAUGGUGGAUUAUCAAGCUCCUUCUAACCAAUAAAUUGGCUUGUCUCUGUUGCAUGUACUAACUAUUUAUCUAGUACAAUAGUAACAAGUUUACUUGUGUUUUUAGGCAUAUUUUACUGAAUCUUUUUCCACUAGACAUUGUAUAGGACUGAUAAGACGUGGGAUUCUAGAUCUUGAACCUUAAGAAAUUAUGUAUGUUACAUGAAGAACAACUGUGUAAAAAAGAACAGGGGUUUAAAAAGAAAGAUUACAAUAAUCUAAAUGUAAUAGAAAACAAUAAAUAAAAAUAAAAUAAAAGAAAACAAGGGAAAAUAUUGAUAAAAAUAUAGGAGUGAGUAUAAGGAGUUGACCACCGUUUACAAUAGUAUCUAGUCCUAUUUAUAUUGUUAUAGAAGUUUGAAUACUACUUGUAUAAGUAAUUAUGAUCCUAUAUGGAUAUUGAUAAAAAUGUUUAUUAACUCAUAAUGUAAACUAAACUCCUUUUCUAUUGAUACACGAUGAAUCCUAGGUUAAUCUAAGAAUUUUAAUUAGUUCUUAUGUUGAAGAUCACAUGCCCAGUAAACACAAACAAAUCAAUAAAUCAUCAGUUCUAGCUAUCAUAAAACUUAGAGACGUUGCCAGGCUUCUACUACAUGGCGCCUCACAACCUUAGCAGCAUAAAAAAUCAACCCUGAUAUAAUAUCAUCAACAAGCAAGGAAAACAAAGAGAAAGAAGCAGGAAAGUCGAAAAACUUUCCUGCUCGGCAACGUUCUUUAGGAACCAAACAAAUCAAACCCAACAGCAGCAGCACUUCGAGUAAUUAACUCUUUAACACAAAGCAAUACUUCUCUGUAACUCAACCGUAGAUCAUCUUCCCAAUCAGUACAAGAAAAAGAAAUCUAAAAUUUUGAAAAUAUACUUUCCAUUUAGCAAACAAAAAUUAACACAAAGCAGCAUCGCCAUGCUAACGACCCAGUCAAGAAAACAUCAAAAAGAUUCCAACUUUCACUUCCUCUCACUUCUCCUUUCCUUUUCAUCAUUGAACCACCAAUCCAAAACUGAUAUUAAAGCAACCCACAUAGAUAUAUGGUAGAGAGUCAAAAGAAAAGAAAACCAACCUCUGUUCUUGAGGAACCAAGGGACACCAAAGACAAGAGUGAUGAUGGCCAUGCCAGCUAUGCAAGUACGAUUUACUCUUGACUUGAAUCCUUAGCUGUUGGCCUUGUUUUUUUGCCUCGCUUCCCUUUUUCUUCACUUGCUAAAACGAAAAGACAAGCUUCCUCGCUUCCCAGUUUGCUAAUUUCUCUGCAUUUUAUCAACAAGUAGAAAGCGGGUAUGCUUAAAAUCAUGAUGGAUUGUUGACAAGAUUUUUUAUUUCAAGGUGAAAUAAGCUUUAAUUAUCAUAAAAAGAACAAAUUGAAAGAGAACCAGGUAGGAAACGAGUGUACUAAAGCUCUUACCUUCUCCAUCCCUAUUUGGUUUACCAGGUACCCUGGAGCUAAGCUUUCUUUUUCCCGCGAACUGCGCUGUACAAUUUUCUAUCAUGCGCCUUAUGCGGAGUCCACCUCGUGUCCAAUCAUAGUUACAAGGCCACCUUACUAAAAAGAGUGCAUGGGCGGGAGUUCUCUAUCUCUCACAAGGACAAGUGGCAAAUCACUAAAGAUAAGAACACCACCAGACAUCCGACAAAAAAAGAAAGCACAAACAUAAGUAGCCACUUGUUUGUAGCAGCCAUCCAUAGCUUUACCAUGUCAGAUCCCCAAAACCCUAAUCCCCAAAACCUUCCUUCUUCUUCUGCUUCUUCUUCGUCUAAUAAAAACCCCACCGAAAUUAAACCCGGCAACGGCAAUUACUCGGGUCAAAAGGUCCAUUUCUCGAACCCACCCGAGACAACAAAUCCGGAUCCUGCAACACUGAGGGAACAAUGGAGGUUUGCUAUUAGGCAGUACAGUAAAUGGUAUUCUCACGCUUGGGGCACUGCUAUUCUGGCUGGUGUUUCGUUUUUCGCGCUUGGCUGGAUCAUCAAGGGAUCCAAUCCUUUACCGUCUUCCAGGACUGAUGAUUCCUCUUCUUCGCCUUCUAAUGAUGCUAAAGAAAAAGCAACCCGAUAAUUGGUGAGUUUUAAUUUAUUUUUAAUAUAUUCAUGUUUUAUGGUUUGACUUUUGAUCUGGGUUCUUGCUGGUUUUAAUUUGUGAGCUUGGUUUUUGGUUCCAAGAUUUUUUUUGGUGUUGGUGAUGAAUGUAUCUUUAAUGAAUUCUGAUUAAUUCUGGGAAAUCAAGAAUAAUUAAGUAAUCAAUAGCUUCGAGUUAUAGAAAUGGAAUGAUCAAUUUUGUGCUUAAUCAAGGUUCGAUCGAACAUUCUGAUGAAAUAAUGUCUCUCAUUGCUCAACAAUUGUAUAGAGCAACAACUGAUUGCUUCAGAGAGUUAUACUAGAGGCUUGAAUCAUGGAUGUGACCUGGUUUAUAGGGUGGUGUUGAAAGCUGCUCUGUGAACUUUGAUUAAGUUGAUGGAGUUUGGUUAGGGGGUCAACUCCUGCCAAAUAACUAAUUACACUGUGUUCUACAGGCGUAAUGUUAUCAUAUAUAGACUUCUUACUUGUGUCUCUGUAACCUUUGGACUCAAAUAUGGCUUCAGUGGCGGAUUGUGAAGCUUCCUAUUCCAUUUUUUUGAUUCUACAAGAGUUUUGUAUUCCAUGUGAACUGCGAUUUGGUUUUUCCUUGAAGACUAUAUUAUGUUCCAUUUUGAAUUAUCAUUAUGGAAUCUUCUUUUCAAAGGUGGAAUCAUCAUGUUAUUGGUCUUAUACAUUGGAUAUUUGUUUAAAAACAAUGAAGCACCACCAUAGAGCAACAAUUGUGCUACCUGCUAAAUAUUUUUUAUGCUGUUAUGUGUAGUGGUAGUUCUUCAUUCAUAGAAUUAUAUUCUUCCCAUUGGUUUACAUGGCACCUGGACUGUAAUGGCUUCAGUCAUCUAUCAUUCAUUCCUUCGUUAUGUUUACUCUCAGAUAUGGGUUUUACCAAAAGCUGUAAUAGGAUAAAAUUUAUUCAAGUUACCUUGGGGUUCCUCCUCCUCCCUCAUUGGGUUACUGAUUCAUGAUUGAACUAUGCUUUGCAGAUGCACAAGAAUAAUGGAGAUCAGCCUCUGUAUUGGCAGGUUUUUACAAUCGAGGUUCUUACUGGUUUUUAUGUACAGUUCUUAUAAGUUUUGUGACUUACAUUUUGUGUUCGAGUAUCAGCCAUUGUAUCGGCAGGUUCUUACAACCAAGGUUCUUACUGGUUUUUUAUGUACAGUUCUUACAAGUUUUGUGACUUACUUUUGUGUUCAAGUAAUAAUGGGAUUUGUAAGCCAACAAUGUGGAUGUCGCUGGGCUCUUUCAUAAUUUGGAUCUUUGCCUACAUUUUCUCUAAUCCGUACAAUUGACUUUGAAUCCCUUAUUGAAUGUUUGAUCAAGGAGAGAGAGAGGAUUGAAGUUGAAAGUGUUUUCUCGGCUUCAUUUGUUUUUUUUUUUUUAUUUGCAAGGAAAUUAGAUGGAGCAAUGUCCGGAGGAUUAUUGUGCUAUGUUAGCAUACAAGUGCAUGAUAACUACAUUCAAUUUAAUUAUUUCAUAUCCUAAUAUUUGCAGAACAAAAUCAACAUCUUGGAAUGUACCGAAGUCUCGCAUAUUUUGUGUAGAAUGCAGAUACAUAUGAUGAUGCAUCAAGUAGAGUUUCGAAACAUGAAAUGUUGGCUUGGGGCUUUAUUAUUUCCUUCUCCGUCCAAGCCAGUCUUCGCACGUUUAAGACCCAGACAUCCAAACUUAGAAUUGCAGCACACGAGCGAGUACAACAAGGCGGAAAACAGAAACAAAUAAUUUGACUGAUUUAAGAGAACAACAAAUAAACAACUUUUUGUUUUUGAAGAUCCAAAAUGGGCUAACAAAUUCAUCUCUAGUUCUUAAAACAUGGUAACAUUUAACAGUUGAAUAUUUUUGGUCAACGUAGCAUAUUGUCAAAUGGUCAGCUAAACCUGGAUGAUAUGAACUGGGAAUGGAGUCCCAAAGACAAUAAUCUGUAGACCGGGUCCUCAAUAUUAAUCUGAGAAAAUCUUGAAACAUUUCAAAACUUAUCAAUGCUCAAGAUGAGCAACAUCCAGCCUUUUUCACAGCCGAGACAUCAUCUCUGCUGCCAACAUUAAUUUUCUGUCCUUUGGGCUGUCAAAGAACCAUCUCAAUCAAAAAGCUUAAUCUAUUAGGUGAGGCCCCAAUAUAUGAUUUAUGUUAUUCUCUAACACACCCCUUCAAGUGAAAGCCCUUUGGGCUUGAAACUUGCACAGGCCCACAUUAACAUGUGCUUAAUUUUAUCAAAUAAAUAAGGAUGGUGAGAUUCGAACUCGUGACCGCUUGGUCAUUAAAGCUCUGAUACCAUGUCAAAGAACCAUCUCAACCCAAAAGCUUAAGCUAUUAGGUGAAGUCCCAAGAUAUGAUUUAUGUUAUUCUCUAACAUGGGUGAAUAUGUUUGGUCAUCUCCAACGUCAAGAGCCUUCCUGCUUACACCAAGGUAAAUCUGGGUCAGCACCUCUGUGAAAGCAUUUUCAACAUUCAUUUGAUUCCAGAGCAGAAGUCUCCAAGAAAAAUGUGCUCUCUCUUUCAGCAAAACCCUUUGCUUCUUCAGUGGCAACUGCUCCAAGAAAAAUGUCUGCUUUGUUUCCUACGAGCAUGAUCACAUUGUUUGGCAUCUGUGUGAUCCCGAAGCUCCUUUAACCAUCUCUCCACAUUUUCAAAUGUAACAUGGCGGGUUACAUCAUAGACUAGUAAAGCUCCAACUGCCCCCCGAUAGUAUACACUUGUGAUAGCACGGUAUCUUUUAACAAAAAGAAAAGAAAAGAGGAAAUAAAAGAAAUAAGAGAGAUGAAUUUGAAGUGUCCUUUUGAUUUCUAGCACAGUAAAAAAAGAAAAGAAAAAGAUAAGUGCAAUAAAGAGAGAGAGAAGAGAGGAGAUAAAUAAAAAGGAAAAGAAAAGAAAAAAAAAUACCUUCAAGCAUAUUAAAACUCUGAUUACAACACUAUUUGUAAAGUUGGAAAGAUUCGAAGAGACAAAUUUAAUUAUACCAAGAAUAGUCAUCAACAAUAAUAAAAAUGGACCAUACAAGUGGUUCAAAGACAAAUGAGUUUUGACAUCUUUGUUGCCAGACACCUCCCUUUCAUUCCCCUAAUCAUGCCAACAGUAGCAGCAUAACUCGUUCCUCUAGAGCCAUCAGCAUCGGCAACACACUCGCCAUGAAUUAAUUCACAUCCUGCCGCUGCUGUUUUUUGUUUUACCAGCAAAGGACAAGAUGGGCUGUACCUUUAGCCCAACCUACGUUUACAUAUAAAAAAGGAAAAAAUCGUUGGGCCUUUAGCCGGCCCAACCUAAUUAAACUAAGCUUAGCCUCAAGCCCAACCAACCUAGCUCCUAGGUUAUGAGUGUGUUUGCCAAACCAUGCAAUAUAUUGAGUUAAUUCUCUCUUUUCCAGUAGUCUUAUCAUUCAAAGAUGGACAGCGAGGAAGAAAGGUUUUGUAUCAAAAUUUCAAUGUCUGUUCUUGGGAAACAUUUUCUUAAAAAACAAAUUCACAUCUUCUUAAUGAUUUUAGAUUCAUCAUUUUAGCAUAAAUUAAGAUCAAAUAAUAAAAUUAAAUUAAAGAGAAAUGACAGUUAAUAAUAUUUUUGUUUUUGAUGAAGUUAAUAUUUUGUUCUUGAUGAAAGCUUACUGAUAUAGCUUUCUUCAGUUUUUAAUGUCAUAAAUUUCCUAUUUCCUUCAUUGCUAUUAUUCCAAUCCUUUUUAUAAUAAUAAUAAAAAUAAUUUAAGCAUACGAAAAGAAUGCAUAAAUAAGUCCUAAUUAAUUAACUUAACAUUCUUGACAUUAACUGUCAUUUCUCUCUCUCUUUUUUUUUGUCAAUUUAUUGAUUUCUCUACUGUUAAUGGAUCUCUCUGUUUUUUCCUUUCUUCUACUUUUUCUGUUCCUUCGAGUUGAUCAGUCCAAGAAUCUGAUCAUUUAAGAAUAGGAUUCUUUUUGCAAUUCUGAUGAGUUUUUUGUACGGUAAAGAGUGUCUUUUUGUACAAUUCUGCUCAACAAAUGCGUCUCUUGUAAAAAAAUGAUGAAACCUAAUUGAUAUUUUUUUAAAAAAAAAACUCUUAAAGAUCAGAUCAAAUAUGGAACUUGUACCAUAUUUUCUAACGAGUUGAAUAGAAUUCAAUCCAUUUCAGACGACCAAAUAAGGAUAAGAUGUGUUUAUGCCCAAGGACCAAGAAUCAUGUAUGAUGUUUAUGUCGUGUAGAUACAUGAAUGGAUUCUUUUGCGGUCCAGUCCCACUAUCAGCACCAGUUGUUUUAUGUACAAAACAUAAAUAUAUGAGAUUAUGUCCACUUUCAAAAUUUAUUUUCCAUCAAUAUGGCAAUGAUCAUAUGAUACACCUCGAAUUUGAAGUAUGUAAUGAUGAUUUUAUGUUCUGAACAUUAACUUAUGUUGAUAUUGCUUCAAAUUAGGGUCCCAGAUGAUGAAGCAAAAGAAGUCCAAGAGUAGCACUCUAAAGGCAGUAAUAGAACAUAUUUAUAAUCAGGUUAAAAAAAAAAGGAGAACAUAUUUAUAUAUCUAUGAUGUUUAAUUUGUAAGGAUUUAUGAAUUUUUUUUAUUACAUUAAUUUUCUAACAAUAUAAUAAGACAAUAUCUAUGAUGUUAUUUUAGAUCAAAUUAACAACAUAACAAUAUACUAAAACAAUUGAUCGAUUAGUUUUUUUUUUUUUUUGUAGGAAAGACAUCACAAUUGCUCAUCGACAAUAAAUAAAACAAUUAAUUUAAUAUUUGGAUUUUGAGAGUCUUCUUAUAUAGCUCCCUCGUUCUACUUUAACUAUCAUAAAUAUCUUUCAUCUUCAUUAUUUUCACUUGACCUCAAAUUUAAUAACUCUGUGCAAUCCUUAGGGAAGUCGAUGGUGAGAAGGAAGAAUCCAAUUGAGCCACCAUCCACGGUGCAAGUCUAUUUCAGUCUUCUCAUUAACUUAGAGGACCACCGCAAGAAACUAUCGCCUUUACCUGGCUGGCAAAAAUAAGGCCACUUAUAUUGCCGGACUAGAUCGAUGUCAAAUCCAAUGAGAACCUGGAAUUUAAUCAAUGAAGAAUUUUUUAUCCUUUUCGACAUGUGUAGGCCCUACAUUAGAGGCUAGGUGAUUCUCUUCUGAUCCUAUAUAACGCUAAGGCUUCCUCCACAUCGCAUCCAUCCUCAGCUUCUGUUUGCUUACAAGUCGUUAGUUUUCUUAUAGAUAUGGCUCAAAUUGGCAACCAGAUUGAGAUGAUCACGACACCAAUUCAAUGCUCUGCUUUUAUGUUUUAUGAGGUCUACAGGAAAGAAGCGUUCCUCUUGCCGAGGAUUUCUCCUCGUAAUGUUAAGAAAAUAGAACUCGUUCCCCCUACUUGUAGUUGGGAGGAUAAAGUAGGCUCCCGCAAGCUCGUUCACUUCGAUGAAGGUUUGAACUCAGAUUUCUUAAAGGAGGGAGAGACUCUCAUUCACAUUUUCAAUCUUUUUUCCUUAAGAUAAUUAUCAAUUAAUCACUUUGUUCCAUAAUUUUUUUUAUAGCAUCUGUUUUCCUUGAGCAUGCAUGCAUAUAUUUUAACAACAGCGGCGUUGUUUUUUUAAAUAGCUGGACUUGAGUCUUUCAAGGAUGAAGUGAUAGAGAUUCAACCUGACGCCAAGAAAAUCACCUUCAAGGUGUUGGAAGGAAACAUGAUGAUGUCCUUCUAUCACAGCUUCCAGGCAACUCUUGAGGUCACUGAAGGCUCCGCGAAAUGGACUGUUGUAUUUACAAAGAAACAUCACUCAUGCCCAGAACCUACUUAUUACUUGCAGCGCUUAGAUUCCGUCAACAAGGACAUUAAUACUUACCUUCUUUCUUGUAACUAGGAACAGCACGACAGAACAUGCCCUUUGUUUAAGUGAAGCUAGCCAGUACGUACGUUGUACUUUGAAAUAAACGCUUCAAAUUGAAGGUGCAUGUAAUUCCCAGGCCCUAAUAUAAAGUAUAGAGCACUUUAGACCUUUGGAUUCCAUCAGUUAGGCUGUUGAUGCUUCCCUUCUACAAGGUGUGUGGCAUGAGCAGAUAAGCCUGGUAUUUGUAUAAUAAUUCAGGUGGCCAUCCUCUGUGUAACUUUGUGUGAUCUAGUAAUUAAAUAAUAUGUGCUCACUUUCCUUAAAUCCGUCGUUCGGAGUAUUAUUUUCGUUCUAAAUCCAUUUUUUAAUAUAUAUAUAUAUAUAUAUAAAGAUUAAGGGGGCAAUUUCCCCCUUAAUCCCCAUUUGGCUCCGCAACUGGCUGCCACUGUCCAAGCAAUUCUAGCAACUCCUCUAGACCAUUUAGAUCUUGCCUAACCUCUCCUGGAAGGUCCACUGCAAAUUUUGAAUGAUUUAAUAUUUUGCGUUACAUGUGAUAAUUGUAUAAAUGUGUGUGUCGCACCCUAAAAAAAAUCCAAUUACGGGUUCGAUUGUCGAUUUUUUUGUUUUACUGAUUUGGUUCUUUGGAGCCACCUAGUAUUUUGGUUACUAGGAACCAUAACUGGUCUCAAAGAUCGGGUACGGGGACUGGUUGUGUAAAAGGAAGGUAUUAGCACCCCAAAUACGCCCUACCUAAGGUAAGCUGCAUUGUUUUAUUGUCUGAUAAAAACUAAAAUGUUAUUGUACUUCUAGUUGUUGGUCUGUCUAUGGUUCAAGAAAAAUCCUCCUCGGUAAGAAGGUCUUUAUCUUAUCGGGUAAAAUCCUAACCGUUCUAACGUCUAUACCAAAACUUUAUUAAUAAUAUUUAGGAAUACGUUUUACGUAUAAAUUCGUAAUCCCAAAUACUAAAAGAAAACAAAAAGAUUUUUUUAGAAUUUUUGAAAUAUUGGCCUAGUUCUCAUGGCUUGAAUAAACUGGUUAUUAAAGCCAAAAUGCAUGCUAAUACAUAUAUUGUUUUGAAAAUUUCCUUUGUUGUGUGAAAAUAUGAUGUUAUAAUAUAUAUAUAUAUAUUGGAGAGACUAGGCCGUAUUUUAAAACCAAAAAAACAUUUUUUGGAAAAUUUUUUUUUUUAUGUUUUAACGAAAAUCGGGUAUUUUAAUACUGGGUUUGUAUUCUUACGGUAUAAAAAUACAAACCAAUAUUAAUCCACCCUAAUAAAAAUAUGCAGGAAAAAUCAACAAUAUUUUUAGGGAUUUUUUAGAAUUUUUUGAAAGCAAAAACAUUUUUUAUAUUGAAAGUCUUUGAUGUUUUGACAAAAACCGGGUAUUUUAAUAAUGAAUUUAUAUCUCUACGGUAUAGAAAUACAAACCAUUAUUAAGCCAAAAAUGCAACCAAAUCAACAAUAUUUUUCAAAGAUUUUUCAGAAUAUAUUUUUUAAAGAAAAAAAAAAAAUAUAUACAUAUAUAAUAUAAUAUAUAUUAUAUGGGCUGGGCCGGCCCAAUUGAAUGGGCCAAACCCAGCCCAACAAGAAUUGGGAUUGGGCCGAUCUCGGCCCAUUUAAGCUUUUAUCUUUGACUGGGCCAAACCUGGCCCGAUAUGCAUAACUGGGCCAGAAUCGGUCUGGCCCAGCAAAAGAAAAUAGUCGGGAGGGGAAUUAAUUUUCCCCUCCCCUUCUCCUGCAUGCAACACAAUUAUGCAUGCAAGAGGGAAGCUUCUUCAACUAACAGGUGCAAAGGGAGGGGGGAGAAGACUUUACCUAGUGUGGAGGAGGCGGUCGCUGGUGGUGCUGCGAUGGAGGCCGGCGUGGCUGAAGGCGGCGAGGCUGGUCGCAGGAUCUGAUCGCCGCUGGAGGAAGAAAAAAACAGGUCCUGCAGAGGAGAAGGAGAGCCCACGGUUGCAACUGUUGGAGCGGCUGAAGGGAGAGCUGCUAUCCUGGCGGUCUUUGGUGCUGCUGCUAUGCUGCAUAGGAGAAGGAAAACUCACGGUUGCAAGAUGAUUGCUGCGGCUGCUGCUACUGCUGUUGCUGCUGCUGGAGGCCUCGGUGACAGAGGAGGAGAGUUUUGCAGAGGAGAGAAAGAUGAUGCAACCACCGUGUGUGACGUUUUGGUGGCUGCUUGAGGUGGAGAUGACAAUGAGAAGACGAGUGAUGAUGGUGGUGGUGGAUGAGGGCCAACGACGGAGAGGGAAAGGGAAGAAGAGACUGGUUGCAGGAAAACUGGGCAGUAAUGGCUGGUUUUUGUCCGACUUUGUGUUUUAUUUUUUCCUCCCUCAGAUCAUCAAAUCCGACUCUAUUUAUAGGCUGUGGAAGAGGACAAUCUUGUCUACGUUGGAGAAAAAUUUCAGCCCUUGAUUCAGUUGGGAAGCAUCUCAACUGUUGGCUCAAAGUGUGCACCUCGAGCUGCCAAAUUUGGCAGCUCCAGGUUGUGAACUGCCCGAGGUGGCCACUUUGAGCCACUCAACGGAGCCGUUUCUAACUUUUUCGGCCCGACAGGACCAUUCUCCGGGAUAAAGGGGUUUCAGGUGGACAUGUUGGUGCACGGUUUGUCGGAUUUGGAGGCCAGACGAGCCGAAAGUGAAUAGUAACAGGCGACGUGUCUCCUGAUUUCCCUGCGCCAUUUUUCAAAUUAAUCCUCCAGUUUUCAAUUUCUUCAAUUUGACCCCGGAUCAAUCCAAUACAGCACCCCUAUUUACGCCCUUUUUCCAAAUUGGUCCCUGGUUUCGGAUUUUCUCAAUUAAGUCCCUAAUUGGCCAUUAAACUUCAAUAUUUAUGCAAUUAAGCCCCUGAUCGGACCUAAUAAAUUCCUAAAAAAUAUAUUUUGGCCCCAGAACUUAAAUUUCUUCUAAUUAAAGCCCAAAUUGACUUAAAAAUCAAUUUUUCUUGCAAUCAAAUCCCCUAUAAAUCCAAUUAAAAAUCCAAUUAAGUCCAUAAACAUCCAAAUUUGGGCUUUUCUCCUCAAAAUUUAAAUUUUCCUUCUAAAAUAGGGCCCUCAUCCUUCAAGAAUAUACUGUCAAAAAUCCAAUCUUUGUAUUUUUAUACUCCUUGACCAAUUUUCUGACCAUUUUCUGAACGUUUCUGCCUCCUGUUAUUUUUCUAACCUCUUUUGGCUAUUUAUUUUAUUUUUAUUUUUGUGGGGACCCGAAAAUGGGUUACAACAGUGUGUAAUCAUAAGGUGUGUGCUAAAUAGUGAAAGAGAAUAUAUGUCAGUGAUACAUGAUUUUAUUUUCUUUGGAUGUGUUAGAAAAAAACAAAAAAACAAAGAAGAAAAAAAAAUACACAUACUUGUAUAAUUUGUUUUUUUACACCAUGUUUACAUAAAAAUUAAAAAAACCCAUUUUUGCAUGUUUUUAGCAUUAAAAAAAUGUGUUUUUGAUAUUUGUUUAAAAAGAAAUCCAAAGAGACUGGAUUAGGGACUUGAUUGAAGAAAUUCAAAAUUAAGGACCAAACUGGAAAUGUACGUAAAUAAAGAGGCUGAAAUUGAUCGAAUUAAAGGCUAAAUUGAAGAAAUUGAAAGUUUGUUGAUCAAUUGAUGGUCAAAAUGCACAAAUUCAAAAUCAAAGACCAAAGUGAAAGAGGUGGCCAACUUCAUGGUUGACAUCUAAAUUUGACAAUGAUGCAAUUGAAUUGAUUCUUAAAUCUCAAUUGAGGAAUGGAUUAAACAAAUUAAAAUUUAGGAUUGAUUUAGAAAUUGAAAAUUUUUAGCGCCCUUUUCUUUUAAAUGAAACGACAUGUUUUGUUCACAACGAUGUCGUUUCAUUCACAAUUCAUUUUUUUUAAAGAGAGAGAGAGCUACAAAUAGUGUCAUUUUGAUGACACUGUUUGACAUCUUCUUCCCCUGGACGUGCAAAGGCAGGGGAAGAAGGUUUUUUCCCCCUCCUUUGCAAUGCUUGUUUCUCCCUCGCUCUCCCUCCCAUUUGCCCAAAAACCCCGACACAACCUACACCCUUUCAUGGCCUACCACCAUGAUGAAAGGGACAGAGUAGACAAGCCAUGCGGGUGGCUGUAUAGAGGCCGCUCCAGCCAUCCUACUGUUUCACCAUGACUAGACAAGGAUAGGAUAGGGUGGCCAUCUCUUCCCUCACCCCUUAUAAAUACCCCCUCACCAGAAGGUAAAAGGGAUGAGAAUGAGAGAACGAAAGGAAUGAAAGAAACAUAAAAAGGAGAGCGAAGGAAAAAAACAAAACAAAAAAAAAGAAAAAAAAAACAGGGGAAAAUAGAGAAAGGAAAAAAAAGUUAGGAAAGGAAGAAACAAAAGAGAAAGAAAGAAGAGAAAACAAAGAGUGAUAGGAAAGGGAAAGAAGAAUAACCACCGGCCAACAAAGCCACCCUUCCCAGUGCAUAGCCUCCUCGGUGAGAAGAAGAACCAGCAGCUCCAGCUCCAGCAAGGAUGGAUGUCGUUAUGAGCCAUCGAAAGUCAGCAUCCACCUCAUUUCUUCUUCUUCUCUUUCUUUGUGUGCCACCUCCACUAUUCUGUAAGUGAAUAAUGGAGAGUGAAUUAAUUCACUCUCCACUGUUCACUAUAUCGAACAAUGUCAACCCAUACCAAAAUGGUUGGCCCGAGUCCGACCCAAUAAAAAUAAUAUUUAUUGGACUGGUAUUGGCCCAACACCCUUUUGGGACGACAUCGGAUCAACCCUUGUCUUGGGCUGAUGUCAGCCUAGUCGCUUUUUGGGUCGAACUCGACCUAGUUUCCUUUUGGAUCGAACUUAGCCCAAACAUGGUGGGCUCAACCCACAUGAUUAGGUUAGGGCCAACCUGAUGUAUUUUAUUAUAAUAUAAUACUAUAUAAUAUAUGUUAUAUAUUAAAAUAAAAAUAAAUCAUUUGAAAAACAUUUGUGGUUUUCUUGCGUAUUUUUCUACCAAUUUUACUUAAUAUUGGUUUGUAUUUUUAUACUUUAAAGAUACAAAUCCGACAUUAAAAUACCUAGUUUUUUUCAAAAUAUUACAAAAAAAAUUUAUAUAGAAAAAAUAAAUAAAUAAAUAUAUAUAUAUAUAUACACACACACACGACCAAGUCUCUCAAGCUUAUAAGAAAUUUUCUUAUCGAAUUUUCAUACAACAAAAAAUUCAAGAACAAUAUUUAUUAGAAUGCAUUUUGAGCUUUAAUAAUCAGUUUAUUAAAGUCAUGAGAACUAGGUCAAACCAAGAAAAUUAUUUUGUUUUCUUUUAUUAUCUAGGAUUACAUACUUAUACUUAAAACAUAUUCCUAUUAUUAAAUAAGUGAUAAUUCAUUUUUUGUUGACGUUAGAACGAUUAAGUUUUACCUGAUAAGAUAAGGAUCUUUAUACUGAUGAUGACUUUUCUUUAACCUUAGACAUGCCAAUAAUUAAAAUAUACGACAAUAUCUUAAUUUAUUAUCAGACAAUUAAACAAUAUAAGUUAUCUUAGAUAAAAUCAUCCCGGGAUGGAAGCUUCGGUCCUGGGAGAGGCAGAAUUUAGGGCCGGGGGGGUGUCUAGCUGAAAAUUUAAAGGAGAGAAGAUUUGAUGAGUAUAAUUUUCAUUUGAAAUCACUAAGGGAUUUUCAUUGAUAUUUUUAUCGGUGAUUUGACGUGUUAAAAAUGUUAAAAUAAAUUCUGACACAAUGAUUUUUAAAUUCAAUCUGAAGAGAAUUUUUUAUUGGCGUUUUUUUUUAAUUUUUUUUUUUCUGGUAAUGGUUGAUACGUGACGCCACAUUACCAUUCAUAGGAGCCUAAAACAGGACGUUGAGAUGAGCUUUAGAAGCCGGAAAGUUUUUGUAAUAUUGGUGUAGCUAUUUGGGCUGCGACCCAAACAAUAUGGGUGUUACCAUUGGGACCCAACGGUAACUAGGCAACAAAGGUUUGUUGCCGUUUGGGUUUAAUAUUAUUAACUGCCAUUUUUCUUUAAUUUAAUUUCUUUUUUAACCACUCAGUGAUGGGAUAAGAUUGAGGAGCUAUCCCAGAAACCCGUAAAAUUCAUGUCGAAAUAAAUAAAUAAAUAAAACAGAAAUAUUAUUACGAAUAAGAGCUUUACCAAACUUGGGAAAAUAUCAAUGUCAAACAAUGCAAUAUGUUGAGUUAAUUCUCUCUUUUUUUGAUCGUUUGGACAUUCAGAGUUUCCAGUAGUCUUAUCAUUCAAAGAUGGACAGCGAGGAAGAAAGGUUUUGUAUCAAAAUUUCAAUGUCUGUUCUUGGGAAACAUUUUCUUAAAAAACAAAUUCACAUCUUCUUAAUGAUUUUAGAUUCAUCAUUUUAGCAUAAAUUAAGAUCAAAUAAUAAAAUUAAAUUAAAGAGAAAUGACAGAUAAUAAUAUUUUUGUUUUUGAUGAAGUUAAUAUUUUGUUCUUGAUGAAAGCUUACUGAUAUAGCUUUCUUCAGUUUUUAAUGUCAUAAAUUUCCUAUUUCCUUCAUUGCUAUUAUUCCAAUCCUUUUUAUAAUAAUAAUAAAAAUAAUUUAAGCAUACGAAAAGAAUGCAUAAAUAAGUCCUAAUUAAUUAACUUAACAUUCUUGACAUUAACUGUCAUCUCUCUCUCUCUCUCUCUGUUGUCAAUUUAUUGAUUUCUCUACUGUUAAUGGAUCUCUCUGUUUUUUCCUUUUUUCUACUUUUUCUGUUCCUUUCGGGUUGAUCAGUCCAAGAAUCUGAUCAUUUAAGAAUAGGAUUCUUUUUGCAAUUCUGAUGAGUUUUUUGUACGGUAAAGAGUGUCUUUUUGUACAAUUCUACUCAACAACUGCGUCUCUUGUAAAAAAAUGAUGAAACCUAAUUGAUUUUUUUUUAAAAAAAAACUCUUAAAGAUCAGAUCAAAUAUGGAACUUGUACCAUAUUUUCUAACGAGUUGAAUAGAAUUCAAUCCAUUUCAGACGACCAAAUAAGGAUAAGAUGUGUUUAUGCCCAAGGACCAAGAAUCAUGUAUGAUGUUUAUGUCGUGUAGAUUCCAGUCCCACUAUCAGCACCAGUUGUUUUAUGUACAAAACAUAAAUAUAUGAGACUAUGUCCACUAUCAAAAUUUAUUUUCCAUCAAUAUGGCAAUGAUCAUAUGAUACACCUCGAAUUUGAAGAAUGUAAUGAUGAUUUUAUGUUCUGAACAUUAACUUAUGUUGAUAUUGCUUCAAAUUAGGGUCCCAGAUGAUGAAGCAAAAGAAGUCCACAAGAGUAGUCCACAAAAUUAGGGUCCCAGAUAAUUUGUAAGGAUUUAUGAAUUUUUUUUAUUACAUUAAUUUUCUAACAAUAUAAUAAGACAAUAUCUAUGAUGUUAUUUUAGAUCAAAUUAACAACAUAACAAUAUACUAAAACAAUUGAUCGAUUAGUUUUUUUUUUUUUGUAGGAAAGACAUCACAAUUGCUCAUCGACAAUUAAUAAAACAAUUAAUUUAAUAUUUGGAUUUUGAGAGUCUUCUUAUAUAGCUCCCUCGUUCUACUUUAACUAUCAUAAAUAUCUUUCAUCUUCAUUAUUUUCACUUGACCUCAAAUUUAAUUACUCUGUGCAAUCUUUAGGGAAGUCGAUGGUGAGAAGGAAGAAUCCAAUUGAGCCACCAUCCACGGUGCAAGUCUAUUUCAUCUUCUCAUUAACUUAGAGGACCACCGCAAGAAUCUAUCGCCUUUACCUGGCUGGCAAAAAUAAGGCCACCACUUAUAUUGGGGACUAGAUCGAUGUCAAUCCAAUGAGAACCUGGAAUUAAUCAAUGAAGAAUUUUUUAUCCUUUUCGACAUGUGUAGGCCCUACAUUAGAGGCUAGGUGAUUCUCUUCUGAUCCUAUAUAACGCUAAGGCUUCCUCCACAUCGCAUCCAUCCUCAGCUUCUGUUUGCUUACAAGUCGUUAGUUUUCUUAUAGAUAUGGCUCAAAUUGGCAACCAGAUUGAGAUGAUCACGACACCAAUUCAAUGCUCUGCUUUUAUGUUUUAUGAGGUCUACAGGAAAGAAGCGUUCCUCUUGCCGAGGAUUUCUCCUCGUAAUGUUAAGAAAAUAGAACUCGUUCCCCCUACUUGUAGUUGGGAGGAUAAAGUAGGCUCCCGCAAGCUCGUUCACCUCGAUGAAGGUUUGAACUCAGACUUCUUAAAGGAGGGAGAGACUCUCAUUCACAUUUUCAAUCUUUUUUCCUUAAGAUAAUUAUCAAUUAAUCACUUUGUUCCAUAAUUUUUUUUUUUUAGCAUCUGUUUUCCUUGAGCAUGCAUGCCUAUAUAUAUUUUAACAAGCAGCGGCGUUGUUUUUUUAAAUAGCUGGACUUGAGUCUUUCAAGGAUGAAGUGAUAGAGAUUCACCCUCACGCCAAGAAAAUCACCUACAAGGUGUUGGAAGGAAACAUGAUGAUGUCCUUCUAUCACAGCUUCCAGGCAACUCUUGAGGUCACUGAAGGCUCCGCGAAAUGGACUGUUGAAUUUAUAAAGAAAAAUGACUUAUGCCCAAAUCCUGAUUAUUACUUGCAGCGUU
rnacentral:lncRNA from 1 species